rnacentral:rRNA from 1 species
UACGGAGGGUGCGAGCGUUGUCCGGAAUCACUGGGCGUAAAGGGCGCGUAGGCGGCGCGGGAAGUCCGUGGUGAAAGCCCGAGGCUCAACUUCGGGUCGGCCAUGGAUACUCCUGGGCUUGAGCACUGUAGAGGCAGGUGGAAUUCCGGGUGUAGCGGUGGAAUGCGUAGAGAUCCGGAAGAACACCGGUGGCGAAGGCGGCCUGCUGGGCAGUAGCUGACACUGAGGCGCGACAGCGUGGGGAGCAAACAGG